ensembl:lncRNA
CGUUGUCAUAAACAUCCAGAGCUACUGGACCUGCUUAUUGUCUAAAUAUGGACGCUGUGAGCUGGUCUCUGUUCGGCCUCCUGUGUAAACAUGCAGCCUUCAGGUCCAACACACACACACACACACACACACACACACACUGCAAAUGGAAUGUAGUGUUUCAUGAUAAAAAUGUAUCAGAGCCUCUUGUUAUCAGAAAGCUGCACAUGUUUUACACGGUGUUGCUAUGGCAGUCGGAACCAGAAUGAGAAAAGUACAAUUCCCUCGAGAAAGCCAAACUACAAAGUGCUGUGAGUGCAGCUCGAGUGGAAGCAUUUUAAAAUCUUCUGGUGGGCUGAGAACGUUCAUAAACUUCUUUUUCUGCUCGAGCGUUGCCGACUUAAAGAAAGCUCUGUUUGCUCGGGACUCAAAAGGGACCCCGGAGUUCACUGAGGCUUCCCAUGUCCCCCCCACUCACACACUGAUGGGACGGCGGAACAAACUGGACCCUCUUCUGUGUUCUGGUGACACGAGGACAUGGAGACAUCCGGAAGCUCCGGUCCUGAUGGGACGCCUUCAGCCCAAGAGGUCUCUGCUGGACUCCGGCACCGAGCCGGCUCGGGUCCAGUCCUUUGUGGGAGCGACGGCGCACCAAAUAGUGUGUUACAAGUUCCUGGAUUUAA